GCCGGAAUAGUUUAAUUGGUAAAACGAAUUCCUUGUAAGAUUUAAAUAUUGGUUCAAUUCCAGUUUUCGGCAAAAAAAGUU
rnacentral:tRNA from 1 species